rnacentral:rRNA from 1 species
UACGUAGGGUGCGAGCGUUAAUCGGAAUUACUGGGCGUAAAGCGUGCGCAGGCGGUUCGUUGUGUCGGUGGUGAAAUCCCCGGGCUUAACCUGGGAAUGGCCAUGGAAACUGGCGAACUGGAGUGUGGCAGAGGGGGGUGGAAUUCCGCGUGUAGCAGUGAAAUGCGUAGAGAUGUGGAGGAACACCGAUGGCGAAGGCAGCCUCCUGGGCCAACACUGACGCUCAUGCACGAAAGCGUGGGGAGCAAACAGG